rnacentral:ncRNA from 1 species
CCCCUGAUCUUUUUUCUUGCUACGCGAUAAAAAAAUUAGGGGAUGAUUAACAGAGUUAAUUGCAUGAAAAAUCUAAAGUUUAUCUCGUUUUAGGUCAAUAUGCAGCCAAACUUAUAUUAAUUGUUAAUAUAAGUAGGUUCAACGACCAAUUACCCCCUAAUGGGAGAAUUCUGUAACAAUUACCUUGUUAAAGGUGAUUGUUAAAUACAUGGUCUGAACAAUAAUGUAAAUUAUUG